GCAAGCUGCGUGGACCGACAGGCGGGCCGGGCAGGUAUCCUCAAACCGGAGCCAGUGGUGGAUACAACAACCACCCGAAUCGCGGCGGUCAAGGAGGUGGCGGGGGAGGUUAUGGUGGGAGCGGACAGUAUCCUCCGCCGGGUGGCCGGGCCCCACCGUACAACUCGAGUGGGGUGCCUCCUGGCGGUGCUCCACGUGGCGGUGGUGGAGGUGGUAGCGGGUUUGCAGGCGCGGCGCCGAAUUAUCCUCAAGUUGGUCCUUAUGGAAGUUCUGGUG
rnacentral:lncRNA from 1 species